rnacentral:rRNA from 1 species
AACGCCAAGAACCUUACCAAGUCUAGACAUCCUGCUGACCGGUGAGUAAUGUCACCUCUCCUUCGGGACAGCAGAGACAGGUGGUGCAUGGUUGUCGUCAGCUCGUGUCGUGAGAUGUUGGGUUAAGUCCCGCAACGAGCGCAACCCUUAUUGUCAGUAGCCAGCAUUUCGGAUGGGCACUCUGAUGAGACUGCCAGGGAUAACCUGGAGGAAGGUGGGGAUGACGUCAAAUCAUCAUGCCCCUUAUGACUUGGGCUACACACGUGCUACAAUGGCGUAAACAAAGGGAAGCGAGCCCGCGAGGGGGAGCAAAUCCCAAAAAUAACGUCCCAGUUCGGAUUGUAGUCUGCAACCCGACUACAUGAAGCUGGAACCGCUAGUAAUCGCGGAUCAGCAUGCCGCGGUGAAUACGUUCCCGGGCCUUGUACACACCGU